AGCAAAAACAUGGAUCCUGUAAUCCACCACUAGCUCUGUUCAUGGGCAUAUAGAGGGUGGGGCUGGUCCAGCAGAUGGAAAAAAAAAAAAAAAAAAGCCUGAAAGCUUGAAGCUUGUUUGUUUGUGUUUCUAAGGGAACCUCCACUCAUGUGUGUCAUCAUGUACUCUUGCACAGGGGCUUUAAGAAUUUGUGCCUUGAGGCUAAAGGAUGAAUACUGUUGUUUUAAGUUGUAGAUAGGAGAGGGAUGAUGUAGUUAAGUGCAUAAUGGUCAGUGCAUGCAAUAUUCCUUUCCUUUAUUUCCUAGUACUCUUACUACCAGAUGAGGAGAAAGACAUAUGCAAACUUGAAAAGAAAAUUGCAAGCUCACCUGGAAACUAAUUGCCUUUAGAGUGUUUGUGCUCUGAUAAAGAAGUCUUUACAGGCUCUCUCGUAUUUUGAACAGAAAGACAGGCCUAUUCAGGAGAGAAUCAGAGAAGAUCAACAUACCCAGUAACUUGCAAAACAAGCCAAAUGCUCAAGCACCCUGUGUUCCCAAAGCACACAUCAGCUUCCAUGCUUGUGAAAUGCUAUUGAAUUCCAGAGGAGUCUUUACCUGCUCUGCUCUUUGGAAGAAAAAGAAUAAUGCUUUUUUUUGUUCCCUGUGAAAUUUUUCAGGGACGAAGGGAGCUGUUGAAGGCAACGUGGCACUCAUGUAGCUUUUUGUCUCUGCUAAUGUCAACUAUGUAUUCACUAUAAUCAGCCAGUGUGAAGGUCUCUCUGAUGUGUAUCAGAGAGACAGCUUACUCCACACCGCUCUGUCCCACAGGCUUCCAAAUGACUUUCCUAGUAAUCGUAUUUGAAAGGACAACCAUUUUUGCCUUGGAUUAGUCUAAAAGCCUUUCCCUCAUUAACCCAUUUUUCCUCCCAUGCCUGAGGCAGCCCAAGAUGAAAAGGUACUGGAUGUUUUCAAUUAUUUGUUUGCUCAGUACUUUAUACACCACCUUCCUUGAAAGAAUGGGGAUGUCCCCAGCUCUGAUACAUUAAGCCCUUUGGUCCCUUUCCUCCCUUAAUCUGGCGGUUAUCAGCAUUGUUAAUUUUAAUGCAGCCUGCUGUGUUGCAGCUCUGCCUGCAUUGCAUCAGAUGUGCAAGUGGUUUUAAAUGAAAAUGAGCAAAUCACUGCAGAGCUUCCCCAAGUGUGUGGAGAAGGAGUUGUAUAACUGAUUAAAAAAAAAAAAAAAGAGAGAGAGAGAGAGAGAGAAACACAGAGAGAGAGACUGCUAGCAAGAAGGAAAAAAUAAACCCAGGGCAAGGAGGAAGUGCUCAGAAGGCAGGAGAAAAUAGUGAUUUAGUCAUUGUGCAUGAAGAGAUUUUAAGAAAAACUCAGCAGAAAAACAGCACUCGGGAACAGAGAGGCAGUGGGUUCAUGCCAUGCACCAGGACUCAUGUUAACACAGAGUGUCAGUAUUAAGAAAGGAGGAGGGUAAUGGGAGAACAAUGAGGCCACACCUGGAGAAAAAAUUGAUAAACUGGAAAAAAACAAAGGCAGUGAAGAAGAGGAGCCGCUGAGAAAUGGGAAAAAAGAAGUAAAAUGACAAAGGAAUAAAUAUGUGAAAA